rnacentral:misc_RNA from 1 species
GAUGAAGAACGCAGCGAAAUGCGAUACUUGGUGUGAAUUGCAGAAUCCCGUGAACCAUCGAGUCUUUGAACGCAAGUUGCGCCUCAAGCCAUUAGGUUGAGGGCACGUCUGCCUGGGCGUCACAUAUCGUUGCCUGAUGCCAGUUUCCUCGUGAUGGGUGACUGUGCAGGGCGAAUGAUGGCUUCCCGUGAGCAUUGUUGCCUCAUGGUUGGUUGAAAAUUGAGUCCUUGGUAGGGAGCGCCGUGAUAGAUGGUGGUUGAGUGACGAACGAGACCCAAUCAUGUGAGACCCCUACCGAAUUUGGCCUUCAUGACCCACAUGCGUCUUUGGAACGCUCAUGACGAGACCUCAGGUCAGGCGGGGCUACCCGCUGAAUUUAAGCAUAUCAAUAAGCGGAGGA